rnacentral:rRNA from 1 species
UUUCCAGAGAUGGAUUGGUGCCUUCGGGAACUCUGACACAGGUGCUGCAUGGCUGUCGUCAGCUCGUGUCGUGAGAUGUUGGGUUAAGUCCCGUAACGAGCGCAACCCUUGUCCUUAGUUACCAGCACGUUAUGGUGGGCACUCUAAGGAGACUGCCGGUGACAAACCGGAGGAAGGUGGGGAUGACGUCAAGUCCUCAUGGCCUUUAUGACCAGGGCUACACACGUACUACAAUGGCCGAUACAAAGGGCAGCGACACUGCGAGGUGAAGCCAAUCCCGUAAAAAUCGGUCUCAGUCCGGAUUGGAGUCUGCAACUCGACUCCAUGAAGUUGGAAUCGCUAGUAAUCGUGGAUCAGCAUGCCACGGUGAAUACGUUCCCGGGCCUU